GGGCCUAUAGCUCAGUUGGUCAGAGCAGUCGACUCAUAAUCGAUUGGUCGUAGGUUCAAGUCCUACUGGGCCCACCA
rnacentral:tRNA from 11 species